GAUCCUGGCUCAGAUUGAACGCUGGCGGAACGCUUUACACAUGCAAGUCGAACGGUAACGGCGGAGAGAAGCUUGCUUCUCUCCGGCGACGAGUGGCGAACGGGGUGAGGUAAUACAUCGGAACGUGUCCGCUCGUGGGGGACAACCCAGCCGAAAGGUUGGCUAAUACCGCAUGAGUUCUACGGAAGAAAGAGGGGGACCCGCAAGGGCCUCUCGCGAGCGGAGCGGCCGAUGACUGAUUAGCCGGUUGGUGAGGUAACGG
rnacentral:rRNA from 1 species